CCUACGGGGGGCAGCAGUGGGGAAUAUUGGACAAUGGGGGGAACCCUGAUCCAGCCAUGCCGCGUGUGUGAAGAAGGCCCUCGGGUUGUAAAGCACUUUCAGUGAGGAAGAACGCCUGGUGGUUAAUACCCAUCAGGAAAGACAUCACUCACAGAAGAAGCACCGGCUAACUCCGUGCCAGCAGCCGCGGUAAUACGGAGGGUGCGAGCGUUAAUCGGAAUUACUGGGCGUAAAGCGCGCGUAGGUGGCUUGAUAAGCCGGUUGUGAAAGCCCCGGGCUCAACCUGGGAACGGCAUCCGGAACUGUCAAGCUAGAGUGCAGGAGAGGAAGGUAGAAUUCCCGGUGUAGCGGUGAAAUGCGUAGAGAUCGGGAGGAAUACCAGUGGCGAAGGCGGCCUUCCGGACUGACACUGACACUGAGGUGCGAAAGCGUGGGUAGCAAACAGGAUUAGAUACCCUAGUAGUC
rnacentral:rRNA from 1 species